rnacentral:rRNA from 1 species
CCUACGGGAGGCAGCAGUGAGGAAUAUUGGUCAAUGGGCGUAAGCCUGAACCAGCCAAGUCGCGUGAGGGAUGAAGGUUCUAUGGAUCGUAAACCUCUUUUAUAAGGGAAUAAAGUGUGGGACGUGUCCUGUUUUGUAUGUACCUUAUGAAUAAGGAUCGGCUAACUCCGUGCCAGCAGCAGCGGUAAUACGGAGGAUCCGAGCGUUAUCCGGAUUUAUUGGGUUUAAAGGGUGCGUAGGCGGCCUUUUAAGUCAGCGGUGAAAGUCUGUGGCUCAACCAUAGAAUUGCCGUUGAAACUGGGAGGCUUGAGUAUGUUUGAGGCGGGCGGAAUGCGUGGUGUAGCGGUGAAAUGCUUAGAUAUCACGCAGAACCCCGAUUGCGAAGGCAGCCUGCCAAGCCAUGACUGACGCUGAUGCACGAAAGCGUGGGGAUCAAACAGGAUUAGAUACCCGGGUAGUC